GUUUAUAGAUUACAUUUUUUUGGCUUACAAAUUGCAAAAAAGACAAAUUCCUCUUAUUUAAACUAACUGUAUAAGUUUCCAUUUAAUAGUGUCUUUUGCUUACUUUGGAUCUAUAGAUAAAAAACAAAAAGAGUAGAAUCAUGUUGCUGGGAUAUUAAAAUAAUUAAAAGAUAUUAAAUUUUGUAUCUUAGUAUUUUUAUACAUGGUAUUGAAUGCGGAAAAGAUUAUCAUUCAAUUAGACUCAAUUUUGUUGAGGUUAUUUCUUGAUUUAAUUACUGGAGAUUAGGGAAAAAAUUAAUUAUUUUCUUUUGAUCUUCUAUAUUUCCCUGAUGUUAUUAUUGAAUAAAAUUCCAUAGAACAUCUGUACCAGUUAACAAA
rnacentral:misc_RNA from 1 species